rnacentral:misc_RNA from 1 species
GAACGCACAUUGCGCCCGCCAGUACUCUGGCGGGCAUGCCUGUUCGAGCGUCAUUUCAACCCUCAAGCUCUGCUUGGUGUUGGGGCCCUACGGCUGCCGUAGGCCCUGAAAGGAAGUGGCGGGCUCGCUACAACUCCGAGCGUAGUAGAAUCCUAUCUCGCUAGGGAGGUGCGGCGUGCUCCUGCCGUUAAAGACCCCAUCUUUAACCAAGGUUGACCUCGGAUCAGGUAGGAAUACCCGCUGAACUUAAG